rnacentral:rRNA from 1 species
CUUUACUGAGUGUCGUGGCGGGCCGGCACGUUUACUUUGAACAAAUUAGAGUGCUAAAAGCAGGCCUCAUGCCUGAAUAUUGUGUGCAUGGAAUAAUAGAAUAGGACCUCGGUUCUAUUUUGUUGGUUUUCUGGACCAGAGGUAAUGAUUAAGAGGAACGGACGGGGGCAUUCGUAUUGAGACGUUAGAGGUGAAAUUCUUGGAUCGUCUCAAGACGGACAGAAGCGAAAGCAUUUGCCAAGAACGUUUUCAUUAAUCAAGAACGAAAGUUAGAGGUUCGAAGGCGAUCAGAUACCGCCCUAGUUCUAACCAUAAACGAUGCCAGCCAGCGAUCCGCCAAAGUUCCUCCGAUGACUUGGCGGGCAGCUUCCGGGAAACCAAAGCGUUUGGGUUCCGGGGGAAGUAUGGUUGCAAAGCUGAAACUUAAAGGAAUUGACGGAAGGGCACCACCAGGAGUGGAGCCUGCGGCUUAAUUUGACUCAACACGGGAAACCUCACCAGGUCCGGACACCGGAAGGAUUGACAGAUUGAGAGCUCUUUCUUGAUUCGGUGGGUGGUGGUGCAUGGCCGUUCUUAGUUGGUGGAACGAUUUGUCUGGUUAAUUCCGAUAACGAACGAGACUCUAGCCUGCUAACUAGCCGUUUCCGGCAUCAUAAGCUGCCGGCGGCAUAAAAAUCUUCUUAGAGGGACAGGCGGCUUCUAGCCGCACGAGAUUGAGCAAUAACAGGUCUGUGAUGCCCUUAGAUGUCCUGGGCCGCACGCGCGCUACAAUGAAGGUAUCAACGUGUCUUCCCAGGCCGAACGGUCCGGGUAACCCGCUGAACCACCUUCGUGCUAGGGAUUGGGGCUUGCAAUUGCUCCCCAUGAACGAGGAAUUCCCAGUAAGCACGAGUCAUAAGCUCGUGUUGAUUACGUCCCUGCCCUUUGUACACACCGCCCGUCGCUACUACCGAUUGAAUGAUUUAGUGAGGUCUUCAGACUGGUGCGCGAUAGCAUUAUUCAUAGUGCUGCCGAUGCUACUGGAAAGAUGACCAAACUUGAUCAUUUAGAGGAAGUAAAAGUCGUAAC